rnacentral:rRNA from 1 species
UACGAAGGUGGCUAGCGUUGUUCGGAUUUAUUGGGCGUAAAGGGUCCGCAGGCGGUUUGAUAAGUCAGGUGUGAAAUCCAACAGCUUAACUGUUGACACGCAUUUGAUACUGUCAGACUAGAGUAUGAGAGGGGUGAGAGGAAUUUCCAGUGUAGGGGUGAAAUCCGUAGAUAUUGGAAAGAACACCGGCCGCGAAGGCGUUUCACUGGCUCAUUACUGACGCUCAGGGACGAAAGCCAGGGGAGCAAACGGG